AGGGGAGAAGAUUUGAGGUCGAGGGGAGAACGGGGAGGAGGUUUGGGGUCAAGGUGAGAAUAUUUGGGGUCGAGGGGGGGAAUGGGGAGAAGGCUUGGGGUCAAUCAGAGGAGUUUUGGGGUCGAGGGGAGAAUGGGGAGGAGGUUUGGGGUUGAGGGGAGAAUAUUUGGGGUCGAGAGGAGAUUUGGGGUCAUGGGGAGAACAGGCAGGAGAAGUCUUGGACACGAGGAGGAGGAGGGGCAGGAGAAGACUUGGGGUCAUGGGAGGGGGCAGGAGGAGGUGGGACAGGGCGGGACCUGACAGAAGGCUGGAUUUGGGGGUGGGGGGGGGUCCAGGUGGUGACCCCAAACCCCCCCCGGUGCCUCCCCCCAGGCCCGGCUGCGGCUGGUGGACGUGGUGGAGAAGGAGGACAUCAACGAGGCCAUGAGGCUGAUGGAGAUGUCCAAGGACUCGCUGCAGGGGGACAGGGGACAGCAGGGACGCCCCCCCCGGCCGUCGGAUGCCAUCUUCGCGGCGCUGCGGGAGCUGGCGGGNNNNNNNNNNNNNNNNNNNNNNNNNNNNNNNNNNNNNNNNNNNNNNNNNNNNNNNNNNGGGCGGGGGGCUGGGAACAGGUGGGGAGGGCUCCAGGGGUCUUCAGGGGUCUUCGGGGGGUGAUGGGGAGGGGCUGGGGGAGCUCCUGGGGGAGUGGGGUCAACCCAACGGCGUCUUCUUGGGGUUGGAGGAGGUCCCGUGGGAUCGCCGAGGGGGUGUGGGGGCGAUUGGGGACGUCCUACGGUGUCUUCGUGGGGUCAUGAGGGGUCCCAUGGCAUUUUGGGGGGGGCAUGAGAUGUCCCAUGGCGUGUUUUUGGGGUCAUGAGAUGUCCCACGGUGUCUUUUUGGGUUCGUGGGAGGUCCCGUGGGGUCACCGGAGGGGGUGGGGACACUUGGGGACACCCCAACGGCGUCUUCAUGGGGUCAUGAGAUGUUACUUGGCGUGUUUUUGGGGUCACGGGGGUCCCAUGGCAUGUUUUGGGGGUCAUGAGAUGUCCCAUUGGAUUUUAGGGUCGUGGGAGGUCCUAUGGGAUCACCAGAGGGUGUGGGGACACUUGGGGACACCCCAGUGGCGUCUUUGUGGGGUCAUGAGAUGUCCCAUGGUGUCUUUUUGGGGUCAUGAGAUGUCCCAUGGCAUUUUUGGGGGUCAUGAGAUGUCCCAUUGGAUUUUUUGGGGUCGGAGGAGGUCCCAUGGGAUCUCCAGGUGCCGUGGGGCCAAUUGGGGACCCCCCCCACCCUCUCCCUUUUCCCUCCAGUUUCUUGUUCUCUGUUUUUUUAACCAAUAAACUGUUUUUUUAGGGUUUGUUCUGAAACUGGGGGUGCUGCUUCUUCCUUCCUGUGCCCCCCCCCCU
rnacentral:lncRNA from 1 species